AAUGGAAUGCUAUCUGUAGAGUACUGAAAGAAACUAAAGGCCAACAUGUGAAAAACAACCUUCAAAAAUGAACGUUAAAUGAUGACAUUUUCAGAAAAAACAAACAAACAAACAACAAAAAGAAGCAAAAAGGAAACAAAAAACCAAAAUUCACAUAAUUUAUUGCUAGGAGUUUUACACUGAAAUGCUGAAGGGAUUUCUACUAGCAAAAGUAAAAAAUGAUCUCAUUUGAAAAGAUGGAAAUUCAAGGAGGGAAUGAAGAAUAUUGGAUGGGUAAAUAUGUUGGUAACUAUAAAUGAAUAUUGACUACAAAAAAUUAUGUUGAAAAACUGAAAGAUGGAAAACACAGCCACUUGAAGGAGAAAUGUAUGGUCAAAAUGCAUGCAGGAAAAACUUCUUUAAAAGAGUUACUUCAUACUCUGGGUUGGCAGAUGCAAUAAGCAGGGGUGCAUCAAAAGUAACGGAGAAGGUGAUUAGUUGGUGUACUUCAGCAGGAGCAAUCAGAUGAAUUGACUUCUCUAUAUCCUGCUAUUAGUCACAAGCUACGCAGCAGGCUGCAGGUGGGAGCAAUGACCGUGCAUGCAUGGGUCAGUGGGCUACAUACAGUCAUGUUGACAGCAUGAACUUUCGAUGUGAUGUGAGGAAAAUGGCAUUCUACCUCUGUGUUCUUCCUCCCCAAAAUUUGUAACCACCAUCUAAUCAUGAGGAAAACAUCAUACAAGUCCAAAUUGAGGAAAAUUCUACAAAAUGCCUGAUUACUAUUCAUCAAAACUGUCAAGGUCAUCAAAAAGUAAGGAAAGUCUGAGAAACUGCCACAGUCUAAAGACAGUCCAGGGAAACAUGAUGACUCGGUGGUAUUCUGGGUGGGUUUCUGGAACGGAAAAAGGACAACAGGUACCCUGAGCCACUAUCUAAAUGGUCUGUUUAUCUUAUGAAAACACCAUAAGGAGGGAUAACAUGUGGUGAACACAGGUGAAGAGCUAGAGGCCUGAAACUAGAUGGGGAGGGAGAAGCCAGCCAUGCCAGCAUCCAGGGCUGAACUCAGACUUCCAGCAUCUGUGCAGAGGCAUCAGUCAGGCCACAGCUGACUUCAGGCCCGGCUAACAUUAUGUGGAACAGGAGAAUUGCCCAGAUCAUCCCAGUCAACCAAGAUCAUAAAAUUGUUUUCAGCUAUUAAGUUUAAAUAAAUGAAAUAAGGAGAUAAAAAAUACUGACUGGGACUCUGUCUGAAUGAAAGGAUUAGUAGAUUAGAUUAGUGAUUCUCAAAAGACUUUGCUGGAUGCACAUAAGUGUCCACAAAAUAAGAGUAUGAUGGUUUCCAGGUUCAAAUAAGAUGGUAAACUAUUUUGUGAAUCAGAAUUAAAUUGGUUUAUUUACUGUAGAACUUCUCAGAGGCUUUAACAUGUACAUUUAAUAAUAAGCAUUAUGAAAACUGCAAGAGGACAGAAAAGUUGCCUGUGACUUUUUUAAAAGUGUGUUUAUUCACAUCCUGAGGAAGGAUUCCCAGAAGAGAUGAUGUCUAAGCAGUGUCCCAACCGUGAAAUAAAGUCUUCUAGACACUGGACAAGAUCAUCUUUAAGCGUAUUUCCAGCUCCAAAUGUUAUUAUUUUCUCUAACCCAUUAUAAAAUGGCCUCUCUUAGCACUAUGAGAUCUGUAAUACAAGAAGUAGAACAAACACAUGAAGUUCCUGUUGGAAAUUCAAACUUCUCAUACAGCCUUCACUCAUUAUGGAUAAAGGCUUCUGCUUUGAGUCACCUAAGUACAUUUGACUCCAAACUUGAUAAAUGCCUUGAAGUGAAAAUAUGGUGUCAGGCAGUCCCUAUUCAUGAAACGAACCAACCAACCAAUCAACCCAUAUCAUAACUUAAUGGUGUGAGACCUCAGCAAAACUUUAUAAGAACUAAA